rnacentral:rRNA from 1 species
UUUUAUGGAGAGUUUGAUCCUGGCUCAGAGUGAACGCUGGCGGCGUGCCUAAUACAUGCAAGUCGAACGAUGAAGCUUCUAGCUUGCUAGAAGUGGAUUAGUGGCGCACGGGUGAGUAACGCAUAGGUCAUGUGCCUCUUAGUUUGGGAUAGCCAUUGGAAACGAUGAUUAAUACCAGAUACUCCCUACGGGGGAAAGAUUUAUCGCUAAGAGAUCGGCCUAUGUCCUAUCAGCUUGUUGGUAAGGUAAUGGCUUACCAAGGCUAUGACGGGUAUCCGGCCUGAGAGGGUGAACGGACACACUGGAACUGAGACACGGUCCAGACUCCUACGGGAGGCAGCAGUAGGGAAUAUUGCUCAAUGGGGGAAACCCUGAAGCAGCAACGCCGCGUGGAGGAUGAAGGUUUUAGGAUUGUAAACUCCUUUUGUUAGAGAAGAUAAUGACGGUAUCUAACGAAUAAGCACCGGCUAACUCCGUGCCAGCAGCCGCGGUAAUACGGAGGGUGCAAGCGUUACUCGGAAUCACUGGGCGUAAAGAGCGCGUAGGCGGGAUAGUCAGUCAGGUGUGAAAUCCUAUGGCUUAACCAUAGAACUGCAUUUGAAACUACUAUUCUAGAGUGUGGGAGAGGUAGGUGGAAUUCUUGGUGUAGGGGUAAAAUCCGUAGAGAUCAAGAGGAAUACUCAUUGCGAAGGCGACCUGCUGGAACAUUACUGACGCUGAUUGCGCGAAAGCGUGGGGAGCAAACAGGAUUAGAUACCCUGGUAGUCCACGCCCUAAACGAUGGAUGCUAGUUGUUGGAGGGCUUAGUCUCUCCAGUAAUGCAGCUAACGCAUUAAGCAUCCCGCCUGGGGAGUACGGUCGCAAGAUUAAAACUCAAAGGAAUAGACGGGGACCCGCACAAGCGGUGGAGCAUGUGGUUUAAUUCGAAGAUACACGAAGAACCUUACCUAGGCUUGACAUUGAGAGAAUCCGCUAGAAAUAGUGGAGUGUCUAGCUUGCUAGACCUUGAAAACAGGUGCUGCACGGCUGUCGUCAGCUCGUGUCGUGAGAUGUUGGGUUAAGUCCCGCAACGAGCGCAACCCCCUUUCUUAGUUGCUAACAGGUCAUGCUGAGAACUCUAAGGAUACUGCCUCCGUAAGGAGGAGGAAGGUGGGGACGACGUCAAGUCAUCAUGGCCCUUACGCCUAGGGCUACACACGUGCUACAAUGGGGUGCACAAAGAGAAGCAAUACUGCGAAGUGGAGCCAAUCUUCAAAACGCCUCUCAGUUCGGAUUGUAGGCUGCAACUCGCCUGCAUGAAGCUGGAAUCGCUAGUAAUCGCAAAUCAGCCAUGUUGCGGUGAAUACGUUCCCGGGUCUUGUACUCACCGCCCGUCACACCAUGGGAGUUGUGUUUGCCUUAAGUCAGGAUGCUAAACUAGCUACUGCCCACGGCACACACAGCGACUGGGGUGAAGUCGUAACAAGGUAACCGUAGGUGAACCUGCGGUUGGAUCACCUCCUUUCUAGA